UACGAAAUGGGCAUGUGAAACACUAUAUAAUGGAAGGAGGUAAGAAGAAGAAAAUGAUAACUCUACCACAUUACCACCAUUCUUACACCUUCCUUUUUCUUUCUUUUCCUUUUCGUUUGAUUUUGGAAAGCAAGGGACUGUCGUCUCGGUUCGCGAUCCACAAGUAAUCUUUUGUGGAGAUUAUGAAAACAAUCAUCACGAGAGGCUACGUGUGGGUGGCAAACAAAGACGACAAUCCCUAUUCCAGUUCCAUCAGAACUUGAAAUAUCAUGUGAACUCUUGUGUCCCAACAGACACUUUACUACGGUGAUGAAACUUGUUUGUUGUUAAGUGGGCAUAGAGAACCAACCGGCCUCAAUAAGUGUUAAGGUCAUAGAAAAACGUAGACUGAUCAUCUAAAUUCGUCAUGAGCCUCUGUGGUAGCCCUCACAAUGAUCUCAAUAGAGUGCAUGCCACGAUCUUGUAAAGACGUAGAUGAGGGCUCCUCAGGUGUUCAUGUCGAAUGUUAGAUGAUGUAUGUUAAAGUUUCUUACAACUCUACAUCGUUAACACUUUAAUCAUAAAUUGAUAUGCAGGUUUUCUGAUUUGGAGAGGAGAGCUGUUUCA
rnacentral:precursor_RNA from 1 species